GACGAACGCUGGCGGCGUGCCUAAUACAUGCAAGUAGAACGCUGAAGCGAGGAGCUUGCUCUUCUUGGAUGAGUUGCGAACGGGUGAGUAACGCGUAGGUAACCUGCCUUGUAGCGGGGGAUAACUAUUGGAAACGAUAGCUAAUACCGCAUAACAAUGGAUGACACAUGUCAUUUAUUUGAAAGGGGCAAUUGCUCCACUACAAGAUGGACCUGCGUUGUAUUAGCUAGUAGGUGAGGUAAUGGCUCACCUAGGCGACGAUACAUAGCCGACCUGAGAGGGUGAUCGGCCACACUGGGACUGAGACACGGCCCAGACCUCUACGGGAGGCAGCAGUAGGGAAUCUUCGGCAAUGGGGGCAACCCUGACCGAGCAACGCCGCGUGAGUGAAGAAGGUUUUCGGAUCGUAAAGCUCUGUUGUAAGUCAAGAACGGGUGUGAGAGUGGAAAGUUCACACUGUGACGGUAGCUUACCAGAAAGGGACGGCUAACUACGUG
rnacentral:rRNA from 1 species